AGGUUUUUCUAUAAAAGCAGGGGCACCAAGAGCAGUAACCUCACCAACGAAUCCCAUCUCUGCAGAAGAACCCAACCAGUGAAGAUCAACCUUCUAGACAUGGCUGCAGUGAGCUUUAAACUGGUGGUGGAGACUGCUGAUGGCAACAAGAGAGCUGAAUACAAACCUGCUUCGCACAGCUUCCAGAAACUCGGUUGGGCGUUGAAUGAAUAUGAAGAUUCAGUCUCAAACUUCAGUUUCAAAACUGCAGGCAAAUUUGGAUUGCCACCUUAUGUGACCCAGGUGACUUUUGGUAAUAACACUCUUACCAAAACUGACACCAGCUACUGGCAAAUUCUGGUGAAAAACCACAACAUGA